AGUGAACGCUGGCGGUAGGCCUAACACAUGCAAGUCGAACGGCAGCACAGUAAGAGCUUGCUCUUACGGGUGGCGAGUGGCGGACGGGUGAGGAAUACCUCGGAAUCUACUUUUUCGUGGGGGAUAACGUAGGGAAACUUACGCUAAUACCGCAUACGACCUACGGGUGAAAGCAGGGGAUCUUCGGACCUUGCGCGAUUGAAUGAGCCGAUGUCGGAUUAGCUAGUUGGCGGGGUAAAGGCCCACCAAGGCGACGAUCCGUAGCUGGUCUGAGAGGAUGAUCAGCCACACUGGAACUGAGACACGGUCCAGACUCCUACGGGAGGCAGCAGUAGGGAAUAUUGGACAAUGGGCGCAAGCCUGAUCCAGCCAUACCGCGUGGGUGAAGAAGGCCUUCGGGUUGUAAAGCCCUUUUGUUGGGAAAGAAAAGCAGCAGGUUAAUACCCCGCUGUCCUGACGGUACCCAAAGAAUAAGCACCGGCUAACUUCGUG
rnacentral:rRNA from 1 species